rnacentral:rRNA from 1 species
UACGAAGGGGGCUAGCGUUGCUCGGAUUUACUGGGCGUAAAGGGCGCGUAGGCGGACAGUUAAGUUGGGGGUGAAAGCCCGGGGCUCAACCUCGGAAUUGCCUUCAAUACUGGCUGUCUUGAGUGUGAGAGAGGUGUGUGGAGCUCCGAGUGUAGAGGUGAAAUUCGUAGAUAUUCGGAAGAACACCAGUGGUGAAGGCGACACACUGGCUCACUACUGACGCUGAGGCGCGAAAGCGUGGGGAGCAAACAGG